UUCUGCAAUGAGUUUUUAGCAUAGACACUGUUCUGAAGCCUCUUCCACCUGCAAUGGCGUACAAUGUUUCUCUCAACUUGAGCUUCUUCAGGCGCAUAUUCACUCAGUUUUUUGAUCCUGAAGGUAUUGCAAAUGCACAGAAAUCACUCGGGUUGGGACAGGAAGAAAAGGCUCCUCGCGUUCGUUAAAGAGAUGAAAGAAUUAGUAAAAUCUGAAACUGAAUUUUAUGAUUUGAUUCCUUUGUGUGGUUAGGGUAUCUAAAAUCCCAGGAGUAACAGCAGAGACAUGGAAAAUGCAACUCUCAAUCUUUCUUGCUAAACUGUAGAUUUAUUAUAUUCUCAGUUAUAUUUAUUAAGAUCUUCAAAA